rnacentral:siRNA from 1 species
CACUGUCGAGUUCUGUAGUGUCU